AGGAAAAGAAUUCAACAACAUGAAUAAAAGCUUCCUAUCUUUCGGUCACUCCAGAAGAAAGCUUUGAAGAUAUACUACUCUGGUUUAACUAUGAUAGCCAGAGAUAGAGCAGCUGCUUUGAAUCAAGAGAAUGAAGAUCAAAUUCUCCAUUUGUGGAGGGAAAAAUGGGAAGGAGAUGGAUCCCUAAGGAUCUGAUGGAAUCCACAUACUUUUUCUUCUUGGACAUAUGGCUUGCUUCAAGGGAGAAAAAAAUCUCACAUGUGCAAGGAGUGCAACAGGCGCGAGACAAGACUCCCAGCUCCCAUCUGUGCUCCCGCGGCAGCCCGCCUGACUGAGCCCCUGGCGCUCCCCGCUGAUCUCCACCAGCCCUGCGAGCUCUGGGCACAGCUGGCGCACAACUGCAAGGCGUUCACACUGCGGCGGUCUAGGCCUGGAAGGCUCUCCUCCCCAGACAGCCUCGGGGCCAGCGCUUCUCUUUCCUGUCUCUACUCCAUGUCACCGCCGUCACGGGACCCUUAGUACCCUUUCUAGGGUUCCAGCUUCAAACCUAACCUUUCCUGUACAAUAUUUUAUCUUUUUUUGAGAACACCUAAAUAAGUAAACCUACAUGCAUGUGCACGUGAGCAUGCACACACAUGUACAAGCAUGUGCACGUGCACCCCGCCCCAAAGCGUUUACGAUUUUACUGUCUCCCUUGCUAGAAAGUAACCUCUCAGAGGGCGGAGAUGCACAUAUUUGUACAAGGCUGUACUAUCAGUGUGAGAACAAUGUCUGGGCAGAGGUAAGAUCACUUCAGUCCCGCUGCACUGGGAAGGGGGACUUUAAUCCAAAACUAAUUUACAAAACAGAAGAAAGAAAAUCUGAAGUUACUUGACUUUCACAGACUCGAAGUUUAUAGUUGAAGGGAAGGAGAAAAGAGGUAAUGAAGAGUUUUGGGAUUUGACUAAUCAGAUAAAAGUUUAUCAACAGUUUUAAAGUAAAACCCUGAAUCUUCUGCUGCCUGCUUCACAAGAGUGAGGACCUGAGUUCCAUCCCUGGUACCAAACCAAACCAAACAAAACACCAAAAAAACCCCUCCAAAACAACAACCCCCCCAUGAAUAUUACUUUACUGUACAAGCAAACAAUAAAAUUUGACAAGGAACAAACUACAAAUCAUCUUUACAAUUUCCCCCUAAUUUUAGUGUGUUACAAAAAUCUAAGCUUAGAAUGGUGGCGCAAGCCUGUCAUCCCAGCACUCAGGAGGUUGAGGCAGGAGGAUCACUGUGAGUUUAU